CCUACGGGGGGCAGCAGUGGGGAAUAUUGGACAAUGGGGGCAACCCUGAUCCAGCCAUGCCGCGUGUGUGAAGAAGGCCCUCGGGGUGUAAAGCACUUUCAGUGAGGAAGAACGCCUGGUGGUUAAUACCCAUCAGGAAAGACAUCACUCACAGAAGAAGCACCGGCUAACUCCGUGCCAGCAGCCGCGGUAAUACGGAGGGUGCGAGCGUUAAUCGGAAUUACUGGGCGUAAAGCGCGCGUAGGUGGCUUGAUAAGCCGGUUGUGAAAGCCCCGGGCUCAACCUGGGAACGGCAUCCGGAACUGUCAAGCUAGAGUGCAGGAGAGGAAGGUAGAAAUCCCGGUGUAGCGGUGAAAUGCGUAGAGAUCGGGAGGAAUACCAGUGGCGAAGGCGGCCUUCUGGACUGACACUGACACUGAGGUGCGAAAGCGUGGGUAGCAAACAGGAUUAGAUACCCGUGUAGUC
rnacentral:rRNA from 1 species